rnacentral:rRNA from 1 species
UACGUAGGGGGCAAGCGUUGUCCGGAAUCAUUGGGCGUAAAGAGCGUGUAGGCGGUCCGGUAAGUCGGCUGUGAAAGUCCAGGGCUCAACCCUGGGAUGCCGGUCGAUACUGCCGGACUAGAGUUCGGAAGAGGCGAGUGGAAUUCCCGGUGUAGCGGUGAAAUGCGCAGAUAUCGGGAAGAACACCUAUGGCGAAGGCAGCUCUCUGGGACGGUACUGACGCUGAGACGCGAAAGCGUGGGGAGCGAACAGG